GCUCGCAUAGCUCAGUGGUAGAGCAUUGUACUUAUGAGGUUAUCCUAUUCCUUCGCAGUUAUGCAAGGGUCCCGAGUUCAAUCCUCGGUGUGAGCA